ACUCGGGCAGAACACGCACCCACUAGGCGCACGAUUUUUCUCAACAACAAAAGACCCUAGUUCGCACGAACUCUCACAGCCGCCGACCGAUCCACGGCUCCACGCACCUGCACGAACUCACGCUCGCGCCGCCGCCUCUCUUCUCAGCCGCCGACCAGGCUCGAGGCCGCCGCCGUCUACCUGUCGCGGGCCGCCGCCGUGGAGCCGUCCACCGACCGCGGCCGUUCCCCCACUUCCCCAGACCCCAGCCUCCAGGCAGAGGCAGCCCCUCCGCGGCUCCGCCCCAGUCUGCUCCCCUAGUCCCGGUCUCCGCAACUGUUCCCGGGCGCGGUGCGCCGUUCGCCGCCGAGCGUCGUUCCCUACUUCCCUCCUUACCAAAAUAGAAGUUGAGGAAUAAGAUGAGAGACGAUUGGCUGAAUCACACGAUGGUUUGCUGUAUUGACCGAGAUGUAUUUGAAAGUAGGGUCUAUCUAGGACACGUCUAGAUGUGAUGUCACAUCUAAGCUGAUGUCCACUCUGUUUAUGAUC